CAACAAUUACCCCUAUAAAGUCAUCGAAAUUACACCCCCACCCAAGUCCCUUGGUGUUCGUUGCUUCCCUCCUCAAGGUCUGAUACAAAGCCUUUGCCCCGUAAGGCAUGGCACUUUGGAGUCUUCAUUUUGUUCUUGAAGAUUUAAUGGAGUAAAUUGAAGGAUAGAGUACCAUUAUUUUGUAAGCAUUUUAGAGAUUCUGGUUUACAUUAGUGAAAUUUUAAUUAAUGGUUUGUUGAGUUUACGUGGAAGCAAGCGUUUGAAACCUGUUUUCCAGAUGUAAAUGUUGGGUAGUUUGCAAAAUCGGAUCGAAGGAGAGGUUAUCCGGUUUUCAGCUGUUGGUGGUCUCUCAUUUCUUCUUUUUCCUCCCUUCCACUAAUUUGGCAUGAUGAUGACAUUAUUCGCAUGAUGACAAGAAGACAUUAGAAACUUGUAAUCAGGUCUAGACAAAUGGAGUAAAUAUAACGAGGAGUUUUCAACGGAAGAAGAGUAGUCAAACAACAGAAUGAGUUCCAAAAUGGCUAAUGUCCGAUGUAGGAAAACUCUCCAAAGUGGGAUGCUACCAGCUCAGCUGGUCGCAUUCGAUGGGGACAAUUCUCUCCUGCUUCAGCAUAAAUGAGCUGCCAAAACAAUGCAGAAAAUAAUUGAACACAGCAAAACAUAGUGGUUUAGGCUAUUAGCAUGGAGAGGACUUUAGGAAAUCGUGCUUGUGCAGAUUAUGUAAUGAUUUGAAGGGGUUUAGGCUAACAUAUGUUGAUUUAUUCCUUUAUAUUAUUCUUAAUUUUAAAGUCAAUUGUAUAGUUUAUGCAUGACUUAUUAGCAGAUGAAGAUGGGUGGUCCAUAUAUUGGUUGUAAAUUUCCAAACUAUUGAGCUAUCUUGUUCUGAUGUACUACUUGUUUAAUGAGUUGUAGGUGUCAAGGGCCCUUCAUCAUGUGUUUUAGAAGCAGAAAGCUAAGAAUAAGCCCUUCUCUCAAAUUCUAAGCACAAGGCAUACAGAACUUUAAUGAUCUGUCAUCUUUGUCAAUAUUGCUACACUUUUUCAUGGGGAUCAGUAGGUCCGAUACAGUUGUGAAACUAGAGACUAUUAUGACAUGAUAUCACUGCUGGGGCAUUUAUGUUCCAUUCUGUCAGUUCUGAUUGUUCCUUCUGUAUCAGAAUUUGCAGUGUGGGGAGAGUGUGACAAUUGAAGGCCAAACAUAUACAAUCUCAGCUGUAACUCACCGCUACCAGCUUCGCAAAGGAAAGUAUGAACCUAGUGAAAAGAGGCUUGAUGUUCUGUCCACAGGGAGAUACAUCCU